GUAACGCGUGAGUAACCUGCCUUUCAGAGGGGGAUAACGUUCUGAAAAGAAACGCUAAUACCGCAUGAGACUACAGAGCUGCAUGGCUCAGUGGUCAAAGGAGCAAUCCGCUGAAAGAUGGACUCGCGUCCGAUUAGAUAGUAGGCGGGGUAACGGCCCACCUAGUCGACGAUCGGUAGCCGGACUGAGAGGUUGAACGGCCACAUUGGGACUGAGACACGGCCCAGACUCCUACGGGAGGCAGCAUG
rnacentral:rRNA from 1 species